rnacentral:tRNA from 2 species
GCAGUCGUGGCCGAGAGGUUAAGGCGAUAAACUAGAAAUCCAUUGGGGUCUCUCCGCACAGGUUCCAAUCCUGACAACUGCG